rnacentral:rRNA from 1 species
UACAGAGGACUCAAGCGUUGUUCGGAUUCAUUGGGCGUAAAGGGUGCGUAGGCGGCGCGGUAAGUCGGGUGUGAAAUCUCGGGGCUUAACUCCGAAACUGCAUUCGAUACUGCCGUGCUUGAGGACUGGAGAGGAGACUGGAAUUUACGGUGUAGCGGUGAAAUGCGUAGAUAUCGUAAGGAAGACCAGUGGCGAAGGCGGGUCUCUGGACAGUUCCUGACGCUGAGGCACGAAGGCUAGGGGAGCAAACGGG